UACGUAGGAUGCAAGCGUUGUCCGGAUUUACUGGGCGUAAAGCGCGCGCAGGCGGCACUCUAAAGUACGUCGUGAAAUAUCCCGGCUCAACCGGGGAGGGUGCGAUGUAGACUAGGGGAGCUAGAGGUCGGUAGAGGGGGGGGUGGAAUUGCUGGUGUAGCGGUGAAAAUGCGUAGAGAUCAGCAGGAACACCCGUGGCAAGGCGGCCCCCCUGGGCCGUACCUGACGCUGAGGCGCGAAGGCU
rnacentral:rRNA from 1 species